rnacentral:lncRNA from 1 species
CUCCUCACUGUGGCGCUUCUACAGUAAUUAAACUGGCAUCAAAUGACAAGAUAACAAACCGAUAAACCUCAAUCAAAGGCAUGUCUCUACCCUAGUUUGGAUCAGAAAGUUUCCCAUUUGUCUCCGUCUGAGAAAAUCUGGCAUAAACAAAUGGACUUCUUUUCUCCCCUCUUCAUUUGGGGAGAAAAACACCACCAUGUGAUGCAGCCCGAAGGCUGCAACUUUCUAGAAAGAAAGGCAAGCAAACAGUUGUUCCUGAAGAGUCUGUCUGACUACAGAACUGGGGCCACACCAAGCCACGGGCAGCCAACUGCGUGCCUUAAAUUUACAGCUGCUUUUCAGUCCUCAAAGAGGCAAAAGGGUGUCUGGGACCCGACAAAAGGAAGUACAGCUGCUGCAGCUGGAGACGGGGAGCGGGGAAGUGGUGAAGAAACACAGAGACAUUGCUGCAAGUUUUUAUGCUGACUGUACUUCUGCCUGACAGCUCCUCAAAAAGGCGAGGUUAUCUGACCAUCAAGAAUGGCCGGGCUAUGGGUCAGGCAAACAAAAUGCCCCCAUCUCUCUUCUGAGGAAGUGGGGAUGCGACUGGGUGGCAGAGCAGGCAGGAAGCAAGGUAUCAACUGGAAAACUAACAGGAAUGAAAACCUAAAAUUUUACUACAAAAACAUGAAAACCUGGAGAGGAUGAAAAAAAAAAAAAGCACAACUUUCUGUGAAAAUGUUUUAAUAGGUUACCUUUAUGUGGAUGACUCUCCACUCUCGCCUAGACUGACUCACUCUGUGAGCUGCCUCACGGUCCGUCUGGCUGCCAACCCCUGGUUAAACUUGAACAUCUUGUGACUGAAAUGAAUGCAUCAAAGGCUGAAGUGCCGCAAGAGCCUGGAAAAAAACAGUAGACUCAGUCUUCACCUCACCCUGAUUUUACGGAGCGGACAGAAGCCCCUUCAUUUACAAAGCAUCGUUGCACCAGCAGCACCAUUUGUGCUGUCCCCUCGGUGGUCUCCAGCCCUCCUUGCACCCCAAAUUGCCACUCUGGGUAAGGAUGCUCGGCCACAGCCUGCAUCCCGUGUGCCCCCCUCCUCAGCUUGGGUAGCUCCCACCUUUGAGUGCACCCCUCACCGGGAAGAGGCUUGCAGAGCAAACACAAAAGAGAGUGUGGGGGAAAAACGCACAGCUUCUGUUUGCAAUUUUUUGUUGCUUUGGGUAGAAAAUUUUGUUGUCAGCUAUGUAAACAAUUCUCAGAUCCUGGAAGACACAAUUGCUGCAGAUGAAUGUGAGCGGAAAACCACUCUAACAGCAUCUCUUACAGAAAGCAGACCUGCACCACUAGAUUCUGUACGUCUGUCCACUGCCUGUCUUGCAGGCUAUUUACAACUGUAG